GCUCCAGUGGCCUAGUGGUUAGAGCCUCUGCCUUGGAUGUGGGAUGUCAUGGGUUUGAUUUCCGACUGAGUCA